rnacentral:lncRNA from 1 species
UUUGUUUUCCUUUUUGCACUUUAAUUUACUUCAUGUCUUGUCUCUAAGUGCUUGACUGUUGAGAAGCAUUGAAGCCGCUACCACAAGCUUAUCAAUUCACCACCUGCUGUCUAGUUUCUUCAUAAGAAACACGCCAAUAGAAACACUGCAACACGGAAAGAAACAAGCGGACAGCAAAAGGUUGAAGCUUUGAAAAACACAACAAAAGGAGAGCAUGCACGUUUACAGAUGACGCGUCUCCAGUUCAGCUGUGUGCAGUAAGCCCCCAUAACAGUGGCCCAUGAUAAAGCCAGCCCCUCCCAUUUCAUUUCGUAUCGCCGGCCAGUUGCUGGAAGUGGACGAUGAGUACUCGGGUCCACAAUAGUUUUGCAUUCAGCACCACAUAACUUUUCAUUUGUAUUCAGGUGAAGAGUCCUGGUUAGAAUUGGAUUUGUGAAAUAGAUCAGUGCCUUGCCAUAAAAUUGCAACAAAUAAUAAAUGGAGCCACACCUAACCUGAGGUGAUGUGCUAACGUCACAGCGCAGACCUUUCUGUAGUCAAGUCAAGUGGGUGCAGAGUUUGCUCACCAAAUCGAAGUUCUCC